rnacentral:rRNA from 1 species
UACGUAGGGUCCGAGCGUUGUCCGGAUUUACUGGGCGUAAAGAGCGUGUAGGCGGCCAGGCAGGUCUGUUGUGAAAACUGGAGGCUCAACUUCCAGACGUCGACAGAAACCGCUUAGGCUAGAGUCCGGAAGAGGAGGAGUGGAAUUCCUGGUGUAGCGGUGAAAUGCGCAGAUAUCAGGAAGAACACCGAUGGCGAAGGCAGCUCUCUGGGACGGUACUGACGCUGAGACGCGAAAGCGUGGGGAGCGAACAGG